UACUAAUAGAAAUAAUUAUUAGCUCAACCUGCUCAAUGACAUCAAUAGCUGCAGAUUCAUCUGUACUAAGGUAGCAUAAUCACUCGUCUUUUAAUUUAAGACUAGAAUGAAAGGUUCAACAUUUAAAUUUCUAUCUCAUAACUAAAUAAAUAACUUUUUUUAAAUAUAAAAAAAUAUUUAUUAAAAAGAAAGACAACAAGACCCUAUUGAACUUAACUACAGUUUUACUGGGGCAGUAAAUAAAUUAAAAUUUUAAUUCCUACUUAAACAAAUUGACCAAAUAUAAUUUAACACUUAAUCAAGCUACCAUAGGGAUAACAGUGUAAUUAUUUUUCAAAGUUCUUAUUUUAAAAAUAGAUUACAACCUCGAUGUUGAAUUAUAACCUAAUAAAUGCAACCAUUUAUAAAGGAAGUCUGUUCGACUUUUAAAAAAUAACA
rnacentral:rRNA from 1 species